rnacentral:rRNA from 1 species
UGGGUAGGGGAGCGUUCUGUAAGCCUGUGAAGGUGGCCUGUGAGGGUGGCUGGAGGUAUCAGAAGUGCGAAUGCUGACAUAAGUAACGAUAAAGCGGGUGAAAAGCCCGCUCGCCGGAAGACCAAGGGUUCCUGUCCAACGUUAAUCGGGGCAGGGUGAGUCGACCCCUAAGGCGAGGCCGAAAGGCGUAGUCGAUGGGAAACGGGUUAAUAUUCCCGUACUUGGUGUUACUGCGAAGGGGGGACGGAGAAGGCUAUGUUGGCCGGGCGACGGUUGUCCCGGUUUAAGCGUGUAGGCUGGUUUUCCAGGCAAAUCCGGAAAAUCAAGGCUGAGGCGUGACGACGAGGCACUACGGUGCUGAAGCAACAAAUGCCCUGCUUCCAGGAAAAGCCUCUAAGCAUCAGGUAACACGAAAUCGUACCCCAAACCGACACAGGUGGUCAGGUAGAGAAUACCAAGGCGCUUGAGAGAACUCGGGUGAAGGAACUAGGCAAAAUGGUGCCGUAACUUCGGGAGAAGGCACGCUGACACGUAGGUGAAGUGAUUUACUCAUGGAGCUGAAGUCAGUCGAAGAUACCAGCUGGCUGCAACUGUUUAUUAAAAACACAGCACUGUGCAAACACGAAAGUGGACGUAUACGGUGUGACGCCUGCCCGGUGCCGGAAGGUUAAUUGAUGGGGUCAGCGUAAGCGAAGCUCCUGAUCGAAGCCCCGGUAAACGGCGGCCGUAACUAUAACGGUCCUAAGGUAGCGAAAUUCCUUGUCGGGUAAGUUCCGACCUGCACGAAUGGCGUAAUGAUGGCCAGGCUGUCUCCACCCGAGACUCAGUGAAAUUGAACUCGCUGUGAAGAUGCAGUGUACCCGCGGCAAGACGGAAAGACCCCGUGAACCUUUACUAUAGCUUGACACUGAACAUUGAGCCUUGAUGUGUAGGAUAGGUGGGAGGCUUUGAAGUGUGGACGCCAGUCUGCAUGGAGCCGACCUUGAAAUACCACCCUUUAAUGUUUGAUGUUCUAACGUGGACCCGUAAUCCGGGUUGCGGACAGUGUCUGGUGGGUAGUUUGACUGGGGCGGUCUCCUCCUAAAGAGUAACGGAGGAGCACGAAGGUUGGCUAAUCCUGGUCGGACAUCAGGAGGUUAGUGCAAUGGCAUAAGCCAGCUUGACUGCGAGCGUGACGGCGCGAGCAGGUGCGAAAGCAGGUCAUAGUGAUCCGGUGGUUCUGAAUGGAAGGGCCAUCGCUCAACGGAUAAAAGGUACUCCGGGGAUAACAGGCUGAUACCGCCCAAGAGUUCAUAUCGACGGCGGUGUUUGGCACCUCGAUGUCGGCUCAUCACAUCCUGGGGCUGAAGUAGGUCCCAAGGGUAUGGCUGUUCGCCAUUUAAAGUGGUACGCGAGCUGGGUUUAGAACGUCGUGAGACAGUUCGGUCCCUAUCUGCCGUGGGCGCUGGAGAACUGAGGGGGGCUGCUCCUAGUACGAGAGGACCGGAGUGGACGCAUCACUGGUGUUCGGGUUGUCAUGCCAAUGGCACUGCCCGGUAGCUAAAUGCGGAAGAGAUAAGUGCUGAAAGCAUCUAAGCACGAAACUUGCCCCGAGAUGAGUUCU